rnacentral:rRNA from 1 species
UACGUAGGGUGCGAGCGUUGUCCGGAAUUAUUGGGCGUAAAGAGCUUGUAGGCGGUCUGUCGCGUCUGCUGUGAAAAUCCGGGGCUCAACCCCGGACUUGCAGUGGGUACGGGCAGACUAGAGUGUGGUAGGGGAGACUGGAAUUCCUGGUGUAGCGGUGAAAUGCGCAGAUAUCAGGAGGAACACCGAUGGCGAAGGCAGCUCGCUGGGACGCUACUGACGCUGAGACGCGAAAGCGUGGGGAGCAAACAGG